CCCGAGAUGAUGCAGAAGGGCUCCUCCUCAUGGAGGAGGAGGGCCACUCGGACCUCAUCAGCUUCCAGCCUACGGACAGCGACAUCCCCAGCUUCCUGGAGGACUCCAACCGGGCCAAGCUGCCCCGGGGUAUCCACCAAGUGCGGCCCCACCUGCAGAACAUUGACAACGUGCCCCUGCUAGUGCCCCUUUUCACCGACUGCACCCCAGAGACCAUGUGUGAGAUGAUAAAGAUCAUGCAAGAGUACGGGGAGGUGACCUGCUGCCUGGGCAGCUCUGCCAACCUGCGGAACAGCUGCCUCUUCCUCCAGAGCGACAUCAGGUCAGGGCGGGACCCUGGAGCCUGCGGGCCAGCCUCUACCUCCCAGACCGGAGGAUCAGAUGGGGCUGGGGGUGUGUACUAUAGCCGACCUCGCCCUGGCUGGGACCAAUGCACCUGGGCAUGGUGGGAGAAGAGGGUGGGGUGCCCAGUCCUGUGGGAGAUACAGCUGAAGUGUGUGUGUCCCCCACCCUGAGCAGCAUUGCCCUGGAUCCCCUGUACCCAUCCCGUUGCUCCUGGGAGACCUUUGGCUACGCCACCAGCACCAGCAUGGCCCAGGCCUCGGAUGGCCUUUCUCCCCUGCAGCUGUCAGGGCAGCU
rnacentral:sRNA from 1 species